AACGAACGCUGGCGGCAUGCCUAACACAUGCAAGUCGAACGAGACCUUCGGGUCUAGUGGCGCACGGGUGCGUAACGCGUGGGAACCUGCCCUUAGGUUCGGAAUAACUCCCCGAAAGGGGUGCUAAUACCGGAUAAUGUCUUCGGACCAAAGAUUUAUCGCCUUUGGAUGGGCCCGCGUUGGAUUAGCUAGUUGGUAGGGUAAAAGCCUACCAGGGCGACGAUCCAUAGCUGGUCUGAGAGGAUGAGCAGCCACACUGGGACUGAGACACGGCCCAGAAUCCUACGGAAGGCAGCAGAGGGGAAUAUUGGACAAUGGGCGAAAGCCUGAUCCAGCAAGGCCGGGUGAGUGAUGAAGGCCUUAGGGUUGUAAAGCUCUUUUACCCGGGAUGAUAAUGACAGUACCGGGAGAAUAAGCUCCGGCUAACUCCGUG
rnacentral:rRNA from 1 species